GCCUGGGUGGCUUAGUCGGUUAAGCAUCCGACUUCGGUUCGGGUCAUGAUCUCACGGUCCGUGAGUUCCAGCCCCGCGUCGGGCU
rnacentral:tRNA from 1 species